rnacentral:rRNA from 1 species
AGUGAACGCUGGCGGUAGGCCUAACACAUGCCAGUCGAACGGCAGCACAGGAGAGCUUGCUCUCUGGGUGGCGAGUGGCGGACGGGUGAGGAAUACAUCGGAAUCUACCUUUUCGUGGGGGAUAACGUAGGGAAACUUACGCUAAUACCGCAUACGACCUACGGGUGAAAGUGGGGGACCGCAAGGCCUCACGCGAUUAGAUGAGCCGAUGUCCGAUUAGCUAGUUGGCGGGGUAAUGGCCCACCAAGGCGACGAUCGGUAGCUGGUCUGAGAGGAUGAUCACGCCCCACUGAAACUGGGAAACGGCCCAGACCCCAAGGGAAGGCGCAGGGGGGAAAUUUUGACAAAGGGGCGAAGCCCUAUCCAGGCCAUACGGCGUGGGUGAAGAAGCCCUUCGGUUUGUAAGCCCUUUUGUUGGGAAAGAAAUCCUGUCGAUUAAUACUCGGUGGGGAUGACGGUACCCAAAGAAUAAGCACCGGCUAACUUCGUG